GGUGCUUGCACCUGAUGGCGAGUGGCGAACGGGUGAGUAAUGUAUCGGAACGUGUCCGGAAGUGGGGGAUAACACAUCGAAAGAUGUGCUAAUACCGCAUAUGCCCUGAGGGGGAAAGGUGGGGAUCGCAAGACCUAUCGCUUUCGGAGUGGCCGAUAUCGGAUUAGCUAGUUGGUGGGGUAAAGGCCCACCAAGGCGACGAUCCGUAGCUGGUCUGAGAGGACGACCAGCCACACUGGGACUGAGACACGGCCCAGACUCCUACGGGAGGCAGCAGUGGGGAAUUUUGGACAAUGGGGGCAACCCUGAUCCAGCCAUACCGCGUGAGUGAAGAAGGCCUUCGGGUUGUAAAGCUCUUUCGGCAGGAAAGAAAUCGCGCACUCUAACAUAGUGUGUGGAUGACGGUACCUGAAGAAGAAGCACCGGCUAACUACGUGCCAGCAGCCGCGGUAAUACGUAGGGUGCGAGCGUUAAUCGGAAUUACUGGGCGUAAAGCGUGCGCAGGCGGCUUUUUAAGCCAGAUGUGAAAUCCCCGGGCUUAACCUGGGAACUGCAUUUGGAACUGGAAGGCUAGAGUGCGGCAGAGGGGGGUAGAAUUCCACGUGUAGCAGUGAAAUGCGUAGAGAUGUGGAGGAAU
rnacentral:rRNA from 1 species